AAAGUGGAGCAAUCCAUGAGUAAAGUGGCGACCGGGUGAGUAACACGUGACUAACCUACCUCCGAGUGGGGAAUAACUCCGGGAAACCGGGGCUAAUACCGCAUAACAUCGCAAGAUCAAAGCAGCAAUGCGCUUGGAGAGGGGGUCGCGGCUGAUUAGCUAGUUGGCGGGGUAACGGCCCACCAAGGCGAAGAUCGGUUUCCGGCCUGAGAGGGCGCACGGACACACUGGAACUGAAACACGGUCCAGACUCCUACGGGAGGCAGCAGUGGGGAAUUUUGCGCAAUGGGGGAAACCCUGACGCAGCAACGCCGCGUGGAGGAUGAAGCCCUUUGGGGCGUAAACUCCUUUCGACCAAGACGAUAAUGACGGUACUGGUGGAAGAAGCACCGGCUAACUCUGUGCCAGCAGCCGCGGUAAUACAGAGGGUGCGAGCGUUGUUCGGAAUUAUUGGGCGUAAAGGGCGCGUAGGCGGUGCCACAAGUCACUUGUGAAAUCUCCGGGCUUAACUCGGAGCCUGCAGGCGAAACUGUGGUGCUGGAGUGUGGGAGAGGUGCGUGGAAUUCCCGGUGUAGCGGUGAAAUGCGUAGAUAUCGGGAGGAACACCUGUGGCGAAAGCGGCGCACUGGACCAUAACUGACGCUGAGGCGCGAAAGCUAGGGGAGCAAACAGGAUUAGAUACCCUGGUAGUCCUAGCCCUAAACGAUGAUUGCUUGGUGUAGCAGGUACCCAAUCCUGCUGUGCCGCAGCUAACGCGAUAAGCAUCCGCCUGGGGAGUACGGUCGCAAGGCUGAAACUCAAGGAAUUGAC
rnacentral:rRNA from 1 species